AUUGAACGCUGGCGGCAUGCCUUACACAUGCAAGUCGAACGGCAGCACGGGAGCAAUCCUGGUGGCGAGUGGCGAACGGGUGAGUAAUAUAUCGGAACGUGCCCAGUCGUGGGGGAUAACGCAGCGAAAGCUGUGCUAAUACCGCAUACGAUCUACUGAUGAAAGCGGGGGAUCGCAAGACCUCGCGCGACUGGAGCGGCCGAUAUCAGAUUAGCUAGUUGGGGGGGUAAAGGCCUACAAAGGCGACGAUCUGUAGCUGGUCUGAGAGGACGACCAGCCACACUGGAACUGAGACACGGUCCAGACUCCUACGGGAGGCAGCAGUGGGGAAUUUUGGACAAUGGGCGCAAGCCUGAUCCAGCAAUGCCGCGUGCAGGAUGAAGGCCUUCGGGUUGUAAACUGCUUUUGUACGGAACGAAACGGUGAGCUCUAAUACAGUUUGCUAAUGACGGUACCGUAAGAAUAAGCACCGGCUAACUACGUGCCAGCCGCCGCCGUAA
rnacentral:rRNA from 1 species